UGAAUAUAUGAUUAUAUUUGCAUUGAUUGUUCAUAUAACUUGAGAUACUUGUUGUUUAUUUUAUACUCUCUGCACUAUGAUAAUCAGUGAGAAGAACCAUGACAAUGUUGUCAAACUAUGCAAGCAACAUCAUGACAAUGUUGUCAAACUAUUUGUACUUACUCUCACAAACACCUCACAGGCUUAGAAAAAGAAUGCUAGCAACUUGGACACCAGACCAAGAGUUCAACCAAGUGAGGCAGAGAGGUCAGGUGCAGACAUGAAGAGGAAGCUUAAAUGUUCAAGUUCCUGUUGUUGGCGGAGCUUUCAGUUAUUUAAGAUUAACCUUUGGAGAAUUUAUGGGAUAUUUUUCUGGGGCAAAUAUACUAAUGGAGUAUGUGUUCUCAAAUGAUGCUGUAGCUAGGAGCUUUACAGAAUAUUGAGCUUUGCUUUUGGAGAAAAUACUUCAAAUGUAUGGAGAGUUGAAGUCCAUGGAUUGCCAAAUCAACAACUUCAAGCUUUUAGAACUUUUAGAUAAUUAAUUGGAUAUAUGUUAGUUAUUAGUUUGAAAGAUAAUUGUAUGUUGUAAUUGAUUUUGUGUAUAUAUAUAAGAAGGUUUAUUAAUAAA